UGGGGAAUAUUGGACAAUGGGCGCAAGCCUGAUCCAGCAAUGCCGCGNUGGGUGAAGACGGCCUGCGGGUUGUAAAGCCCUUUAGGUGGGGAAGAAGGAGGCUGGGUGAAUAGCCGAGUCUUUUGACAUUACCCACGGAAUAAGCACCGGCUAACUCCGUGCCAGCAGCCGCGGUAAUACGGAGGGUGCGAGCGUUAAUCGGAAUGACUGGGCGUAAAGCGUGCGUAGGCGGUAACGUCAGUCAGUCGUGAAAGCCCUGGGCUUAACCUGGGAAUGGCGAUUGAGACGGCGUAACUCGAGUGGGCUAGAGGACUGUGGAACUCCCGGUGUAGCGGUGAAAUGCGUAGAGAUCGGGAAGAACACCGAUGGCGAAGGCAGCGGUCUGGGGCCACACUGACG
rnacentral:rRNA from 1 species